CCAGAGAACUUAGCAGAGAUGCUUUGGUGCCUUCGGGAACUCUGAGACAGGUGCUGCAUGGCUGUCGUCAGCUCGUGUUGUGAAAUGUUGGGUUAAAGUCCCGCAACGAGCGCAACCCUUAUCCUUUGUUGCCAGCGGCUCGGCCGGGAACUCAAAGGAGACUGCCGGUGAUAAACCGGAGGAAGGUGGGGAUGACGUCAAGUCAUCAUGGCCCUUACGGCCAGGGCUACACACGUGCUACAAUGGCGCAUACAAAGAGAAGCGACCUCGCGAGAGCAAGUGGACCUCACAAAGUGCGUCGUAGUCCGGAUUGGAGUCUGCAACUCGACUCCAUGAAGUCGGAAUCGCUAGUAAUCGUAGAUCAGAAUGCUACGGUGAAUACGUUCCCGGGCCUUGUACACACCGCCCGUCACACCAUGGGAGUGGGUUGCAAAAGAAGUAGGUAGCUUAACCUUCGGGAGGGCGCUUACCACUUUGUGAUUCAUGACUGGGGUGAAGUCGUAACAAGGUAAGCGUAGCGAG
rnacentral:rRNA from 1 species